GAUGAACGCUGGCGGCGUGCCUAAUACAUGCAAGUCGAACGAGUUCUCGUUGAUGAUCGGUGCUUGCACCGAGAUUCAACAUGGAACGAGUGGCGGACGGGUGAGUAACACGUGGGUAACCUGCCCUUAAGUGGGGGAUAACAUUUGGAAACAGAUGCUAAUACCGCAUAGAUCCAAGAACCGCAUGGUUCUUGGCUGAAAGAUGGCGUAAGCUAUCGCUUUUGGAUGGACCCGCGGCGUAUUAGCUAGUUGGUGAGGUAAUGGCUCACCAAGGCGAUGAUACGUAGCCGAACUGAGAGGUUGAUCGGCCACAUUGGGACUGAGACACGGCCCAAACUCCUACGGGAGGCAGCAGUAGGGAAUCUUCCACAAUGGACGCAAGUCUGAUGGAGCAACGCCGCGUGAGUGAAGAAGGCUUUCGGGUCGUAAAACUCUGUUGUUGGAGAAGAAUGGUCGGCAGAGUAACUGUUGUCGGCGUGACGGUAUCCAACCAGAAAGCCACGGCUAACUACGUGCCAGCAGCCGCGGUAAUACGUAGGUGGCRAGCGUUAUCCGGAUUUAUUGGGCGUAAAGCGAGCGCAGGCGGUUUUUUAAGUCUGAUGUGAAAGCCCUCGGCUUAACCGAGGAAGCGCAUCGGAAACUGGGAAACUUGAGUGCAGAAGAGGACAGUGGAACUCCAUGUGUAGCGGUGAAAUGCGUAGAUAUAUGGAAGAACACCAGUGGCGAAGGCGGCUGUCUGGUCUGUAACUGACGCUGAGGCUCGAAAGCAUGGGUAGCGAACAGGAUUAGAUACCCUGGUAGUCCAUGCCGUAAACGAUGAAUGCUAGGUGUUGGAGGGUUUCCGCCCUUCAGUGCCGCAGCUAACGCAUUAAGCAUUCCGCCUGGGGAGUACGACCGCAAGGUUGAAACUCAAAGGAAUUGACGGGGGCCCGCACAAGCGGUGGAGCAUGUGGUUUAAUUCGAAGCAACGCGAAGAACCUUACCAGGUCUUGACAUCUUUUGAUCACCUGAGAGAUCAGGUUUCCCCUUCGGGGGCAAAAUGACAGGUGGUGCAUGGUUGUCGUCAGCUCGUGUCGUGAGAUGUUGGGUUAAGUCCCGCAACGAGCGCAACCCUUAUGACUAGUUGCCAGCAUUUAGUUGGGCACUCUAGUAAGACUGCCGGUGACAAACCGGAGGAAGGUGGGGAUGACGUCAAAUCAUCAUGCCCCUUAUGACCUGGGCUACACACGUGCUACAAUGGAUGGUACAACGAGUUGCGAGACCGCGAGGUCAAGCUAAUCUCUUAAAGCCAUUCUCAGUUCGGACUGUAGGCUGCAACUCGCCUACACGAAGUCGGAAUCGCUAGUAAUCGCGGAUCAGCACGCCGCGGUGAAUACGUUCCCGGGCCUUGUACACACCGCCCGUCACACCAUGAGAGUUUGUAACACCCGAAGCCGGUGGCGUAACCCUUUUAGGGAGCGAGCCGUCUAAGGUGGGACAAAUGAUUAGGGUGAAG
rnacentral:rRNA from 2 species